rnacentral:rRNA from 1 species
UACAGAGGGGGCAAGCGUUAUUCGGAAUUAUUGGGCGUAAAGGGCGCGUAGGCGGUUCUUCAAGUCUCUCGUGAAAUCCCUCGGCUUAACUGAGGACGUGCGGGAGAUACUGAAGGGCUUGAGUCCGGAAGAGGGUGGUGGAAUUCCCAGUGUAGCGGUGAAAUGCGUAGAUAUUGGGAGGAACACCGAUGGCGAAGGCAGCUCGCUGGGACGGUACUGACGCUGAGGCGCGAAAGCGUGGGGAGCAAACAGG